rnacentral:rRNA from 1 species
UGGGGAAUAUUGCACAAUGGGCGCAAGCCUGAUGCAGCCAUGCCGCGUGUAUGAAGAAGGCCUUCGGGUUGUAAAGUACUUUCAGCGGGGAGGAAGGGAGUAAAGUUAAUACCUUUGCUCAUUGACGUUACCCGCAGAAGAAGCACCGGCUAACUCCGUGCCAGCAGCCGCGGUAAUACGGAGGGUGCAAGCGUUAAUCGGAAUUACUGGGCGUAAAGUGCACGCAGGCGGUUUGUUAAGUCAGAUGUGAAAUCCCCGGGCUCAACCUGGGAAUUGCAUCUGAUACUGGUCAGCUAGAGUCUUGUAGAGGGGGGUAGAAUUCCAUGUGUAGCGGUGAAAUGCGUAGAGAUGUGGAGGAAUACCGGUGGCGAAGGCGGCCCCCUGGACAAAGACUGACGCUCAGGUGCGAAAGCGUGGGGAGCAAACAGG